rnacentral:rRNA from 1 species
GGUUAAGCGACUAAGCGUACACGGUGGAUGCCUAGGCAAUCAGAGGCGAUGAAGGACGUGCUAAUCUGCGAUAAGCGUCGGUAAGGUGAUAUGAACCGUGAUAACCGACGAUUUCCGAAUGGGGAAACCCAGUGCAAUUCGUUGCACUAUCGUUUGAUGAAUACAUAGUCAAACGAAGCGAACCGGGGGAACUGAAACAUCUCAGUACCCCGAGGAAAAGAAAUCAACCGAGAUUCCCCUAGUAGCGGCGAGCGAACGGGGAGCAGCCCAGAGUCUUAAUCA